rnacentral:rRNA from 1 species
GAUUGCAGGCUGCAACUCGCCUGCAUGAAGCUGGAAUUGCUAGUAAUCGCGGAUCAGCAAGCCGCGGUGAAUACGUUCCCGGGCCUUGUACACACCGCCCGUCACACCAUGAGAGUCGGGAACACCCGAAGUCCGUAGUCUAACCGCAAGGGGGGCGCGGCCGAAGGUGGGUCCGGUAAUUGGGGUGAAGUCGUAACAAGGUAAC